rnacentral:rRNA from 1 species
CCUACGGGAGGCAGCAGUAAGGAAUAUUGGUCAAUGGACGAAAGUCUGAACCAGCCAUGCCGCGUGAAGGAUUAAGGCCCUCUGGGUUGUAAACUUCUUUUAUCUGGGACGAAAAAAGGGUAUUCUUACUCACUUGACGGUACCAGAGGAAUAAGCACCGGCUAACUCCGUGCCAGCAGCCGCGGUAAUACGGAGGGUGCAAGCGUUAUCCGGAUUUACUGGGUUUAAAGGGUGCGUAGGUGGGCUUGUAAGUCAGUGGUGAAAUCUCCGGGCUUAACCCGGAAACUGCCAUUGAUACUAUAGGUCUUGAAUUAUCUGGAGGUAAGCGGAAUAUGUCAUGUAGCGGUGAAAUGCUUAGAUAUGACAUAGAACACCAAUUGCGAAGGCAGCUUACUACGGAUAUAUUGACACUGAGGCACGAAAGCGUGGGGAUCAAACAGGAUUAGAUACCCUGGUAGUCCACGCCCUAAACGAUGGAUACUCGACAUCAGCGAUACACUGUUGGUGUCUGAGCGAAAGCAUUAAGUAUCCACCUGGAAGUACGAUCGCAGAUUGAACUUAAAUGAAUUGACGG